rnacentral:rRNA from 1 species
GAUGAACGCUGGCAGCGUGCCUAAUACAUGCAAGUCGAGCGAACGGACGAGAAGCUUGCUUCUCUGAUGUUAGCGGCGGACGGGUGAGUAACACGUGGAUAACCUACCUAUAAGACUGGGAUAACUUCGGGAAACCGGAGCUAAUACCGGAUAAUAUUUUGAACCGCAUGGUUCAAAAGUGAAAGACGGUCUUGCUGUCACUUAUAGAUGGAUCCGCGCUGCAUUAGCUAGUUGGUAAGGUAACGGCUUACCAAGGCAACGAUGCAUAGCCGACCUGAGAGGGUGAUCGGCCACACUGGAACGGAGACACGGUCCAGACUCCUACGGGAGGCAGCAGUAGGGAAUCUUCCGCAAUGGGCGAAAGCCUGACGGAGCAACGCCGCGUGAGUGAUGAAGGUCUUCGGAUCGUAAAACUCUGUUAUUAGGGAAGAACAUAUGUGUAAGUAACUGUGCACAUCUUGACGGUACCUAAUCAGAAAGCCACGGCUAACUACGUG